rnacentral:rRNA from 1 species
UACGGGGGGGGCAAGCGUUGUUCGGAAUUACUGGGCGUAAAGGGCGAGUAGGUGGCCAUCUAAGUCAGACGUGAAAUCCCCCGGCUUAACCUGGGAACUGCGUCUGAUACUGGACGGCUAGAGUAUGGGAGAGGAACGUAGAAUUCCAGGUGUAGCGGUGAAAUGCGUAGAUAUCUGGAGGAAUACCGGUGGCGAAGGCGGCGUUCUGGACCAUUACUGACACUGAAUCGCGAAAGCUAGGGGAGCAAACGGG